rnacentral:rRNA from 1 species
GUAGGGAAUCUUCCGCAAUGGACGCAAGUCUGACGGAGCAACGCCGCGUGAGUGACGAAGGUUUUCGGAUCGUAAAACUCUGUUGUGAGGGAAGAACACGUACCAACUAACUAUUGGUACCUUGACGGUACCUCACCAGAAAGCCACGGCUAACUACGUGCCAGCAGCCGCGGUAAUACGUAGGUGGCAAGCGUUGUCCGGAAUUAUUGGGCGUAAAGCGCGCGCAGGCGGUUCCUUAAGUCUGAUGUGAAAGCCCACGGCUCAACCGUGGAGGGUCAUUGGAAACUGGGGAACUUGAGUGCAGAAGAGGAAAGUGGAAUUCCACGUGUAGCGGUGAAAUGCGUAGAGAUGUGGAGGAACACCAGUGGCGAAGGCGACUUUCUGGUCUGUAACUGACGCUGAGGCGCGAAAGCGUGGGGAGCAAACAGGAUUAGAAACCCUGGUAGUCC